UUGAAGAGUUUGAUCAUGGCUCAGAUUGAACGCUGGCGGCAGGCCUAACACAUGCAAGUCGAACGGUAACAGGAAGCAGCUUGCUGCUUUGCUGACGAGUGGCGGACGGGUGAGUAAUGUCUGGGAAACUGCCUGAUGGAGGGGGAUAACUACUGGAAACGGUAGCUAAUACCGCAUAACGUCGCAAGACCAAAGAGGGGGACCUUCGGGCCUCUUGCCAUCGGAUGUGCCCAGAUGGGAUUAGCUUGUUGGUGGGGUAACGGCUCACCAAGGCGACGAUCCCUAGCUGGUCUGAGAGGAUGACCAGCCACACUGGAACUGAGACACGGUCCAGACUCCUACGGGAGGCAGCAGUGGGGAAUAUUGCACAAUGGGCGCAAGCCUGAUGCAGCCAUGCCGCGUGUAUGAAGAAGGCCUUCGGGUUGUAAAGUACUUUCAGCGGGGAGGAAGGGAGUAAAGUUAAUACCUUUACUCAUUGACGUUACCCGCAGAAGAAGCACCGGCUAACUCCGUGCCAGCAGCCGCGGUAAUACGGAGGGUGCAAGCGUUAAUCGGAAUUACUGGGCGUAAAGCGCACGCAGGCGGUUUGUUAAGUCAGAUGUGAAAUCCCCGGGCUCAACCUGGGAACUGCAUCUGAUACUGGCAAGCUUGAGUCUCGUAGAGGGGGGUAGAAUUCCAGGUGUAGCGGUGAAAUGCGUAGAGAUCUGGAGGAAUACCGGUGGCGAAGGCGGCCCCCUGGACGAAGACUGACGCUCAGGUGCGAAAGCGUGGGGAGCAAACAGGAUUAGAUACCCUGGUAGUCCACGCCGUAAACGAUGUCGACUUGGAGGUUGUGCCCUUGAGGCGUGGCUUCCGGAGCUAACGCGUUAAGUCGACCGCCUGGGGAGUACGGCCGCAAGGUUAAAACUCAAAUGAAUUGACGGGGCCCGCACAAGCGGUGGAGCAUGUGGUUUAAUUCGAUGCAACGCGAAGAACCUUACCUGGUCUUGACAUCCACAGAACUUUCCAGAGAUGGAUUGGUGCCUUCGGGAACUGUGAGACAGGUGCUGCAUGGCUGUCGUCAGCUCGUGUUGUGAAAUGUUGGGUUAAGUCCCGCAACGAGCGCAACCCUUAUCCUUUGUUGCCAGCGGUCCGGCCGGGAACUCAAAGGAGACUGCCAGUGAUAAACUGGAGGAAGGUGGGGAUGACGUCAAGUCAUCAUGGCCCUUACGACCAGGGCUACACACGUGCUACAAUGGCGCAUACAAAGAGAAGCGACCUCGCGAGAGCAAGCGGACCUCAUAAAGUGCGUCGUAGUCCGGAUUGGAGUCUGCAACUCGACUCCAUGAAGUCGGAAUCGCUAGUAAUCGUGGAUCAGAAUGCCACGGUGAAUACGUUCCCGGGCCUUGUACACACCGCCCGUCACACCAUGGGAGUGGGUUGCAAAAGAAGUAGGUAGCUUAACCUUCGGGAGGGCGCUUACCACUUUGUGAUUCAUGACUGGGGUGAAGUCGUAACAAGGUAACCGUAGGGGAACCUGCGGUUGGAUCACCUCCUU
rnacentral:rRNA from 1 species